CAUCUAUUUAGAACAACUAUCUAAUGGUUUAAUGGCUGUGUUCCCUCACAAGGCCUUAUCCACACACCAUGUAUUUGUGUGUGUGUGCUUCGUCAAUGAUGUGCACGCACAUCCAAUCUCAUUAGAAUAAUUACAGAGGGACAUAAAGAGACCAUUUGACUGUUUUCAUAUGUAUGUUAUCUAAAAACCAGGCAGUAAAAGAAGAUUGCAUCUCUGCUUAAUGGUAUUUAUCCCUGCCCGCCUUUCAGCCUUCAACCACCGCCAAGGCCUAAAGACGAAGCAUUUGCUACUUUAGACUAAUACGUGGCUUUGUCUUCUCCAUCAUUGUGAUGCUUUGAGUUGGAAAGUAAAGUCUUUCACUCUGCAUUUACAUCUCUUUACAUUCCCCCAUUCAGCCGACCAUUUUAUCCAUAGUGUCGUAAUUAUCCGUCAACCCCAUUGUUUCCCGACCUUCCUCUGUAAAAGCCCUUUAAAUAACAGGUAACAUAAGAAAAAAGUGGCCUUUCAGUUUUUCCACAUAUUGGUAGUAUUUUUUUUAUUAAUAAUUGAUUUUUUACCUUUAGAAAUUAGAUCUAGUUCCGUCCUUGCCGGUACCGUAACGGUCAACAGUGAUUAAAAUGGCCGGGGUGCGUAUUCCGGCCUAAAAUAAGUGUAUUGGUUACAUCGCCCUGCUAUCGCACCACGGCAGCCAGCCACCCCCUCCAGCUCGGAGGCAAAAACGCCCUCCGAAAUCUGAUUAUCCCCCAUUAUAAAGAGCGGUAUUUCCAUCCCGCCGAUUCUCGGCACUGCGUCUGAGCUUUGGGCCGCUUUAGUGCCGGGAAUGGGCCGCUUUUUGACAGUUAGUAGAUACCGCCGCCAUCACAUGUUUGGACAACCCGUGUCUUUUGUGACAUGGGGAAAAGGACAGGCAAGAAAAUAAAAAGCAACUAAAUAACACAGUCUCAAAAGAUCAGGAAUCAAUGAGCCGGAGGAACGUGAUCCGGGCGGCUCGCCGUGUGACCGUCCCCCCCUCCCACCCGCAUUACAGGCUUGUGUCUGCAGACCGACUCUCCUCUCCCUCGCCCCCUCGGAGUUGUAACUCAAGCACUAGGAAGCCGUCUGACGAUGUUUGGGUAUUGGCAGAAAAAGGAAAGGCUUUUACUUAAAGGUUAAGGUUUAUUGGGUUACAUGUUCGCCGGUGAUGGGCGGUAGACGAUUCGAGUCGUGAGGGCUGCAUUAAUGUGCUGGUUUGUGUUUCACAUUUUGAUGUAGUGUGUAAUGUUGAAUCACAGGAAAUGAUCAAUGAGACGGGAGAGAAAAUGGAUGAGAAAGUGCACUUUUUUUUCAUGCGUAUUUCGUACGACCAGAUGCUGUUAAUCUUUGGCAAAAAAUUGUUGAGACGAUUGCUUAAAGCACGCUUAAGUAAUUCGUUUUUUAUCCUUCCAUUAAGAAAUUAUCUAGAUUUUUUUUUAUAAGCCCUUACUUUCAUUUUCAAUUAAAUGUUCACAAUUGAUAAAUAACACUUAUUUUUUUAUGUUAUGGAUUUAUUUGAUUUGAAACAUAAACAGUUUGUGAGGAUGAGGUGAUAAAUGAGAACCUCUAAAUCAUAUACUGGUAUACAAACACUUAAAAAGACAAAUAUUAAAGAAGCUAUAUUUUUCUGUAAACCGAUGUAGCCCUUUUAUAUCCACAGCUGAUAAAGAUGGUUCUAUUCUGGAUCUUUAAUUUGUCUCCUUGGUAUCGUCGUUUUGUUAAGAAAUGUAGCGACGGUGACAUAAUACUUAAUCUUUUUCCUUCUAUCCUUAAGAAAUCCCGCUCUCCUUUUGUGGGAACCAAAUCUGUCAUUUUGUGGGUUUGUAUUUGAGGUUAGAAUAGACAGUUUCAACUUCUAUUGGAGUUGUGAUCUGUUCUGGCGAGCAGAAGAGAACGCGCAGUGACGCCUGGCUUUGUUCACCCACUGGGGCUGGGAGAUAGACGGAUUAUAUAAAACAGAAAGCGUGGGGGAAAAACAAUUUCUGGACAUUUCUAGGAGAUAAAUUAAAUUUCUUUGCUAUUUGGAGGUCCUCUUUGAAAAAGCAAUUGUAAUGAACACAUUCAAAACCGGAGAAUAGAUUCACCCUCGGCUUCAAAUAAGUCGGUGUUAUCGGACUCCGUCAUUCGCUCUUUCCCAUUUUCCAGUUGCUAAUUGAUGUUUUUGAUGUCGGGGAGAAAAUUGAAGAAAAUGUCAUGUGUGAACCGGCGCGGAAGUUAAUAAGAAUGACUUCGUUGACUGAAUUCACAAUGAGCGCAGGAGAGGCGUGUAAUCUGGACCGCUGCGAAUUUUCCCGUCUGUCAACCAAGGGAUGAAAUCGACACCUAGCAAUGCAAUAGGACUGUAGCCGUCUAUACUGAGAGAUAGAGCAUUUCGGAUGCUGCACCCAUCCCGAUCCUCAUUCCUUCUCCCUACUCGCCUUUAGUAUUUUCUUUAGACUUCAGUCUUUUUCUCCCUUUCCUUAGUUUGGUUUUGUAUUCUUUUUCCACU